rnacentral:rRNA from 1 species
AACGAACGCUGGCGGCAUGCCUAACACAUGCAAGUCGAACGAGACCUUCUGGUCUCUUGGCUCUCGGGAGCUUAAUGCGUGGGAACCUGCUAUUACGUUCUGAAUCUCCCCCCGAGAGGGGUGCUACAACUGGAUACUGUCUCUGAUCCAAAGUUUUAUCGACUUUGGGUGGGCCGGCGUUGUGUAAGCUAGCUUGUAGGGUAAAAGUCUACCAAGGGGACGAGCCAUAGCUGGUCUGAGAGGAUGAUCAGCAACACUAGGACUGAGACACGGCCCAGACUCCUACGGGAGGAAGCAGGGGGGAAGAUUCGACGAUGGGUGAAAGACGGAGCCAGCAAUGCCGCGUGGGUGAGGAAGGCCGUAGGGUUGGAAAGCUCGCUUACACGGAAAGAGAAUGACAGUACCGGGAGAAUAAGCCCCGGCUAACUACGUG